rnacentral:rRNA from 1 species
GAAAUGACUGCUAAUACCGCAUAUGCCAUAAUAAUCACAUGAUUAAAGUGGGAAAGGAGCAAUCCGCUUAUAGAUGGGCUUACGCCUGAUUAGCUAGUUGGUGAGGUAACGGCCUACCAAGGCGACGAUCAGGAGCCGAACUGAGAGGUUAAACGGCCACAUUGGGACUGAGAUACGGCCCAGACUCCUACGGGAGGCAGCAGUCGGGAAUAUUGCGCAAUGGAGGAAACUCUGACGCAGUGACGCCGCGUGCAGGAAGAAGGUUUUCGGAUUGUAAACUGCUUUAGACAGGGAAGAUAAAAGACAGUACCUGUAGAAUAAGCUCCGGCUAACUACGUGCCAGCAGCCGCGGUAAUACGUAGGGAGCAAGCGUUAUCCGGAUUUAUUGGGUGUAAAGGGUGCGUAGACGGGAAAUUAAGUUAGUUGUGAAAUCCCAUGGCUCAACUGUGGAACUGCAACUAAAACUGAUUUUCUUGAGUACUGGAGAGGAAAGUGGAAUUCCUAGUGUAGCGGUGAAAUGCGUAGAUAUUAGGAGGAACACCAGUGGCGAAGGCGACUUUCUGGACAGAAACUGACGUUGAGGCACGAAAGUGUGGGGAGCAAACAGGAUUAGAUACCCUGGUAGUCCACACCGUAAACCAUGAAUGGUAGGUGUAGGGUGUGAUGAACAUUCUGUGCC